UACGUAGGGUGCAAGCGUUGUCCGGAAUUAUUGGGCGUAAAGAGCUCGUAGGCGGUUUGUCGCGUCUGCUGUGAAAACUCGGGGCUUAACCCCGGGCCUGCAGUGGGUACGGGCAGACUAGAGUGUGGUAGGGGAGAUCGGAAUUCCUGGUGUGCGGUGGAAUGCGCAGAUAUCAGGAGGAACACCGGUGGCGAAGGCGGAUCUCUGGGCCAUAACUACGCUGAGGAGCGAAAGCAUGGGGAGCGAACAGG
rnacentral:rRNA from 1 species